UUAAGCUGUGUAACAUAAGCCUGUUUAACAAAUUUCUAACUAAAACACCUCAGGUUUAAAUUUCACAUCUAAACUAGAGCUUAUUAUAGAAAUCAUUAUCCCCUUUAAAGCUUGUUGGGAAAAUAAUAAUAAAUAUGGUUAAAAUAAUAAGGUGGCUACCAGAAAAGUUAAUUUUGUUUAUAAACCAAUAUUAGAAAAUGGUUAUUCAACCCUCAAAAAUCGGUUUUUGCCAUUUCCUAACUUACUUACUUUACCUAAGUUUCGAUUAAAAAAAAAUUUAAAAAAAGGUUUCAAUUUCGCUUGCUAGUAACAGCGUAGCAGAACAAAUUGUUUGCUCACAUUUGAGUGCCAAACGCUUUUAUUCUUAAAAGAUAGUUACAGGUAAAAUAUGAUUUUUUUAGAACUUAGAAAUAUAUGAUUCGCAUGAAUUUUGUCUUAAAUUUUAAGCCUAUCGAAGGAAAUCUUAAGCCCACCAAAAAUUUUUAAGUAACACGUCAGUGAAGUAACAAAGUAAAAACUAACUCUACUCUUUCAAGGGACAUCGGUGUUCCUUUUAAAUAUUUUUUCUGAUGUUCCAUUUACGAGCAAAAAUAUAUUCUGUUAUUAGUAGUUACAAAAAAAAUAUCGGACAGUUUUUAUAUAUUUGUACUAAAAUAUAAAAUUAAAGUAUGUAUUGUUUCACUCAUAUUCGAAAACUUAUCCACUGAUUUUGUAUAUUAUCGAAAUAUCAAUGAUGAAUAACAGUUUCUCUAAAUAACUACACAUUCCCAUAUCUAGGUCGCUGAUGCAUCACUACUAAAACUGAGAUUAAAUGAAGAUAAAAUUAAAAAAGAAAUUUUGCUUAAUAUGGUUCAGAUAAUUAUUAAGCUUAAAAUAAUGAAAUGUGAACAAUCUGAAAUAUUUUCAAUGGAAAGGACGGUGGGUAAAAAUUUAUAUUUUUCGUGACUAAUAUGUUAGAACGCAUAUAAAUCUUAUACUUAACCAAGAUAAAUGAGAAUUUUAAAAAAAAUACAUUACGACCAAUAUAACUAUUUUUCCAAAAAUUAUUAUGUUAGGAGCUCAAAUCUAGUUACUAUAAUUACUAGUAUUUUUAAAUAAAAAAUUAAAAUAAGGAGAUUUUAAGGUCCUAAGCAACCAUUGCUCAUAACUCUCUAUUCCACUUACUCUUUGAAACCGUGGUGGCUCAGGGCGUAGAGCACUCGCCUCCCAAUGACAUGAACUGGACGAUGCGAAUUCCGCACUCGGAUCGCACCGACUACAGUGCUGACGUAACAUAUUCUCAGUGGUAAACGGACCAUAGGUUAGAAUCCCCUUGCCAUAAGGAUAAUCGGGGGGGGGAGUUUUCGUGGUUUUCCUCUUAAUGUGACGAAAAUGCGAGUCCCAUCAAAAAACUCCUCCACGAAAGUAAAUUUCUCCCAAUAUUUAAUCCAUGAGUUUCCUUGUCUUCUGGAUUGUGUUAAAAAUUACAAGGCUACGGAGUUGAACAUUAGUAGUCGUAAACCCUAAAUUGGGUCAGCUGUUCAACGACAGUUAUAAAAUAAAAUAACCCUCCAUCCCCUUGUAAGUAACAAUAAGCAAAUCAUUAAGUUGUUCAUUAGUCAGUUAUAUUGGUAUUUAACAAAUUACAGAUAUAUAUUAAGGUUUAUAUUACAGAUAAGUAAAGCCUGGAUUUUAAUAACAUCUGCAUAUUUAGACACUUUUGCUAGUUUAGGGAGAAAACUUUUUUUAAAUAGAAGUAAAUUAUUUUUACAACUUUCACUCAUUUUAACACUAGUAGACUGUUCUAGUUGCAAAUAACUUAGAGCCUUAUUUGAUUUACAGCUGGAACUGGAGUGCAAUUUCUUUAGUAAAAAAAAAUUUUUUUUUAAAAUCUGAAUUCGAUUUGACAGUGCAUCAAACGAGUUUUCCUUUCAUCUUUUGAAUUAGUGAAAAUUAAGUUUUAUAUUCUCUUAUUAAAAAUGUUUUAAUACAAUUGCAUGCUAUAUUAAAUUUCAGAAAAGAUGUGUUUCAGAUUUAAUUCUUGUAUUAAUACAAGGGACUUUUUUUUCCUCGUAGUGGUAUUUUUUGCUAUUUUUAAAGGUAUGUUUUGCUAUUUUUUGGAGAUUUCUUGGGUUUUCAAAAUCCGGACUUUACGAAUCAGCAAUAGAAAACUAACACAUAUUCCUAGACUGAUAAAACAAAUGAGAAAAAAAAUUUCUAGAACCUUAAACUUUUAAUAUUAGUGUGGAUUCUCUAGCCACUUUACUAUUUUCGCGUGUCAUAUGUUGGCCCGAUUUGAUCACCUCUACGUUAAGCCAUCUGAAAAAAUAGUUUCCCAACCACAAAAAUUUUUUUGCAAAAAAAAAAAAUAAAUAAAAAAAGACAAGUUACAUCUAAUUUUUGACAUUAAAAUCACACGUUUGAAUCUUGUCUCCAAAUGUAUGACCGUUUUAAUACAUCGUUAGUUCAUACAUCAAACUAUAAAAAAAAGAAAAAUUGUUACAAACAAUUUAAUGGUCAUAUCAGAAGUUAACUAUUUAUUGAGCUACAGUGUUGAGAGCUUUGACCUAGAAUUUUGACCACAACGAUAACACAUUUUCGAAAAUUAUUAACCGUAAAAAAUCGUUAACCAGAAAUUUUUUUUAAACCAAAAUAAGAAUUGCGGCUAAAACAGCUAUUUAAAACUUUUAAAAAAAUAUCUGUCCCUUUUCAACGAAGUAUAAAAUUUUAUACAGUGUUUGCUUCUAAGGAAAAGCUACAGAAAAAGCUUUUUUUGCGUGCUAAAAAUUUCCGUUUGUCAACUUUUUACAAAACAGCUUCUUGUUCAAAACACCUAAUUUUUGAGCAAAAUUUACGAAUUUUGUUUGCCCAUAGAGCUCUCUUGCUUAACAGCUGAAAACAUUUUCUUAACUGAUCCAUCAAAUAUAAAGUUACGGCAAAACAGGUUUUAACUAAUUUUUGGCCAAAACAAAAAUCAAAUAAAAUUCUGAAUUUUGUCACAAAAUGUUAGCUUAUUAUAAGAUCGUGAACUCACUUUCACCCACCAAAACUUUUGAAACAAGCAAAAGUUAAAAUAAUUUUUUUUAAUUUAUUUAUUUAUUUAUUUUUUUUAGAUUAACAAGGAGAGAGAGAGGGACAGUUAUCCUGGGGACUGCUGAGGGCCGAUCAGAAUUCCUUACGAAAAUAUAGCGUUCAUUAAUGUUCUUUUUCUUUCAAAGAAAAUGGUGGUCACCUUUAAUUUUCUGGUAGAGAGUUACAGGUCCUCCUUUGGCAAGAUCGAGGUGAAACAACUAAGGCUACUAUUUUUAGGGUUAAAGAGAGAAUAGAAGGGCUAGGUCACACUCCUUUGAAGAGACUCGUGCCGCUCCAAUCUUCUGAUUUCACCAGUGACGUCUCGGCGGCGAAAGUCUCAACUUCUCGCUUUACAAAUAAAUUGUUUCGCAUCUAAUUAGCGUCUUUUUUAAACUUAUUUCAAAACAUUCAUUGUUUUCGAUAUUUUUUUUAAAUAUUUAUUUUAAAGGUUAUUUUCUUCACACCUGUUUGCAAAAAUUUAGCAGUAGUAGCCAAUAACAUCUCGCGCGAUAGCGACCGGCAAGAAUUAUUAUAAAACACAAAAUGAGAAACAAUUUCGAGGAACGAUCUGGAACAUAGAAUUUUCUAUGUUUUAUUCCAGAAAAUAUAAAGGUGUCAUCAAAUGAGGUAUAAAAUAUACUGGAAGAAUUUAUUCUGCUGUGAAUAAAAGUAUUAUAUUUCCUG